rnacentral:lncRNA from 1 species
CGUCUGCAGAGCAUCUGUGUAGAUCACGGCCAUGAGGCCACCUGGGGACCCAAGGAGAGGGCUCAUCAGUCAGCACCAGUUUGGGGUCCUCUCUGGCUGCCUGCCCUGUGCAUGGCCACACUGGGGAGACCAGAGAAGACACACAGCCCUCUUAGCAGGGGAACUCUGGCCACUGCCUUUCUCCGCACCUAGUGUUCCCCUCUCUCCCUCCCCGGCAGGAUGCCAGCUGGUCACAGUCAAAGGUGCUGGGGCCCCUUCUUUCUGUCUUGACAGCAGCUGACUGUGGCCAUCACACCACAGCUUUGUGUUAUUGUUUAAUAUCCCAAGUCCAUUCCUUGACUUGCAGUUCUGCCAGGAAUACUCCCUGCUUUCUCCUCCCAAUGCCCAUCUAAAUGCCCCCCUGUCUCUGGACCCCAACUUAACCAUAAGUAAGGCUGUCCUGUGCUGGCCUCCCAGGGUGCCCAGCCCUGUGCAAGGAGAUUUGGAGGAGGUGGGUUGUGGUCUCUGCCUGGGGCAGCCUGCAGUGACUCUGGCUUGGGUCAUAGUCCUCCUCUCUACCCUGCUCCCCAGGCAGUUAGUCUUUUGUGGUAUUUCUUACUGUCUCUCCUUCCCUGUCUCUGCCUGACCUGUUCCUCCUCCCAUUUCUGCCCUUUUUAUCCCCCUGGUCUCUGUCCCUGUGUCUGUCAUUCUGUUCCCCUGUGUUCUUCUCUUCUACGUCUCUGUCUCAGCCUCUCUUUGUCUCUGCCUCUCCUGUUUCUCCUCUCUGUCAGCAUCAGCUUUCUGUCACUCUGUCUCUCUCUCUGGUUGUCUCUCCUUCAGUCUUUCUCUCUGGGUCUCUGCCAGUCAGAAGCUUUCCUCUUGCCCUCUUCCCUCUGCCUACCUGCAAUGGUGUAGACGGCAGUCACCACCAGCAGGAUCCCUGUGGAGAGGUACAGGUUCCAGCCCAAUGCCAUCUGGAUGAAGAGGGCUCCAGAGAAGAUGUCAGUCUGCAGAGAGCCAGGACCCAAGAGGCCAGACCACCCGAGGCCCUCAGUAGGGUUGUAUGGACACAUCACCUGCCUGCCCAGCAACACCAGGCACCCUCAGCCCUCAUCACAUGAUGAAAAUGAGCUUUAAGUGCUAUGCUAAGGAGUGUGGGUUUUAUCUUGCAGACACUGAGGCGCCAUGGAGACUUUAAAGCAGAGAAGUACUGUAUAAAGCCUCCAAACUGAGAUAAAUUUAAUCACGUAGCUGGUCUGCUGGACAUGAAGGGAGUGGUGAGGAAUGAAGUGGAAGGCUGAGGAAGUGAAGGAAGGUGCUGGGCUGGAGAAGAAGAGCUCAUUUAGGAGAAGAGAGGAAGAACCGGAGAGUUGCUGGCUGCUCCCUGGCAGAGCAGAGCCUGCUUGGCUGUCAGUGAUUGUCAGCUUCCCCUCAGCAACACGCACAUGGUGAUGCACUCAGCAGUUCCCUAAUUAGCAUUUCCAGACACAGUGACCACAUUGCAGUGACACCUACCGAGAUCUUGGUGAAGAUGUAGAGGAUGAGAGACAGGACAGACAUGUACACCUGGAUCCUCUGGCCCCCAAAUCGCUUCUUCAGAUACUGCGGCA